UAACUCUCUCCUUUUAUCCCCAAGGCCACUCCAUCUGCGUCACUGCCCUAGUGCCCACUGAAGCAGGCUUGUAAGACACCCUGGAGGAGGAGAAGGCAGAAGCAGACAUUAGGUCCCGGGAUAAUGCCAGUAAGGAGGGCAGACCUGUGGCCACGAAGACAGAAGCUGCUGCUCUUUGAUUCUCCCCUUCCUGCAAUGUACAAUGUGCAAUGUGCAAUGUGCGGUCACAUUUAGAAUUUUAUAGCACGUUUGCUACUUUUUAUUGUUAUGAAUACACUGUUUUCCAUGGUUCACAUUUAGAAUUUUUUUUAGCAUGGUUGCAACAUUUUAUGCUGUUACCAAUACUUUGUUUUUAAGAUUGUAAAUAUGUUUCAUCUAUGUUGUUGCAUAUUGUAUAGUAAAUAAAAAUUGACUCUCCCUCUA